CCUCCAAGGCUAAAUACUCCUGACUGACCGAUAGUGAACCAGUACCGUGAGGGAAAGGCGAAAAGAACCCCGGCGAGGGGAGUGAAAAAGAACCUGAAACCGUGUACGUACAAGCAGUGGGAGCACCUUCGGGUGUGACUGCGUACCUUUUGUAUAAUGGGUCAGCGACUUAUAUUCUGUAGCAAGGUUAACCGUAUAGGGGAGCCGCAGGGAAACCGAGUCUUAACUGGGCGUUAAGUUGCAGGGUAUAGACCCGAAACCCGGUGAUCUAGCCAUGGGCAGGUUGAAGGUUGGGUAACACUAACUGGAGGACCGAACCGACUAAUGUUGAAAAAUUAGCGGAUGACUUGUGGCUGGGGGUGAAAGGCCAAUCAAACCGGGAGAUAGCUGGUUCUCCCCGAAAGCUAUUUAGGUAGCGCCUCGUGAACUCAUCUUCGGGGGUAGAGCACUGUUUCGGCUAGGGGGUCAUCCCGACUUACCAACCCGAUGCAAACUACGAAUACCGAAGAAUGUUAUCACGGGAGACACACGGCGGGUGCUAACGUCCGUCGUGAAGAGGGAAACAACCCAGACCGCCAGCUAAGGUCCCAAAGUCAUGGUUAAGUGGGAAACGAUGUGGGAAGGCACAGACAGCCAGGAUGUUGGCUUAGAAGCAGCCAUCAUUUAAAGAAAGCGUAAUAGCUCACUGGUCGAGUCGGCCUGCGCGGAAGAUGUAACGGGGCUAAACCAUGCACCGAAGCUGCGGCAGCGACACUAUGUGUUGUUGGGUAGGGGAGCG
rnacentral:rRNA from 1 species